CCCAUUAGUUUUUUGUUUAUGUUGGGUUGUCGGAAAGAUCGGCUGUUUUCCGUGUGUCCGUCUGCCAUGAAAAGCUGCUAAAAAGCUAAAUAUAAAAAUCAGCGCAGCACACACGUUCCGCUGCCUGCAUUGUUUUCCCAUUUUAAUGAGUAAUUUUGUGAGUGCGAGUCAGGAAAACGCAUCGUGUGUGUAUAUAUAUACAUAAGUAUGUAACUGCGCCCGUUUGUUUGUGUGUGUUUUUGUGUGCAUGGUGCAAUGGAAAAGUGAUUAUUAUAAAUGAAAAUCAGUGAAAUGUACAACCAACUCCCACUUGUACGUGUGUAGGAAGGCAGAAGGGUGUUUUGCAUUCGUGUGCGUGCCAGAUAAAAAGACUUUGAAUUUCUGGAGGAUAUUAGUGUCAACCGAGGGGGUAUAAUAUGCCGUAGGCCCUAAUAUGCAGGCAAGUCCAUCAAUUACGCCAAAGGUCAGAGGUUAGGCACGCAGCCAGGAUCCAAGGAGCAAUAAUAAUGUUGUAAGAAGGCGACCUGUAAGCGAGAGCGAGAGAGCUGGUGUUUUGGUGUGAGUGCGUGGUAGAACAAAGAGGACGAAAAACACGGCUAACGAAUUCGCCGCACGACACGUUCGCCGCAAGGCGAAUUCAAGCUUAUCCCAGUGAACGAAUGAACAACAAAAGGAUAUCUUAUUGAAACUGAUUAAACUAAAGACUGCCGAAAUAGUUAUAUAAAAUCCGAAACCAUGUCUGCGGCCGAACUUGAAGCGGAGGCUUCUGCCCACGAGCAACAAUCCCAGCAACAACAACAAAAUCAAUCACAAAGCGAGGAGAUAAAUACAAACACUGCCAUCAAUGCAAAUGCACCCACAACAAACAGCUACAACAACAAUUUGGAUACGGAAACACAGCUCCAGAUGCACCAGGAUCCGCAGCAGCAGGAAAUCGAGGGCAACAGCAACAAUGGCAUCACAGGACUCGGCCUCAGUCUGAUGAACUCCUCACCGCCGCCGCACAGCUACCGACACUCGCGGGCCUAUCGCCACUUCAAGAAUCCGCCGCAGCCCCACAUGUGCAUCCGCACCACCACGGAGGCGGGCGAGGAGCUCUUCAUCAAUGUCCUCAGCUGGACGCGCAUUGUGAUACCGCAGGAGCCCAGCGAUCCCAUUCCCCUCUACGGAGGCAUGCGGGUACCGCCUGGCAGCCCACGCAGUCCUCCCAUUGUCUUUGCCGUAAUGGCCAAUCCGGAGGUGCUCAAAGACUCGGGACGUCACAGCAAAGAUCCUGAGGAGCGACGAGCUAUGGUUGAGCUGAUGUGCGACUUUGUGGAGGCUAUGAAUCCAGGCGUGAAAUUAGUCAGAAACGCCGUAAUACUUAAGGAUCGCGAUAUCUCAGGCGAACUGAAGGAUGUCUGGAAUGCCGUUCAGGCGCAGCGCGAUCGCGAGAGGGAGGAGCAGAUGAUGCAGCAGCGUCAGCAGCAGCACUACCAGAACAUCACCACGCAGCAGAUGUUUCCCAAAUCGCCGGACGCAACGCGGGCAGCUAGUGCUGGUGCUCCAGUGAACGAGGCCAGCCCGCCGCCGGCUCACCUAUCUGAGCCGCUGCUGGCAGAGCAGGGAAAUGGCAACGGCAAUGGCAAUGGCAUCACCCUGGCUGUGUUUGCCCAGCAGCUGGACAACAAAGUGACCAGCGAGCAGGCUGAACAGCAGGAGCAAUCAGCAGCAGUCGUGGAAGAUGCUUGCGUGGAUCAAACGGAUGCCGGCAGUUCGGUGAAUGGAUCAUCUACUGUGCUGGACAAUCAGUCGGUGGCGGUGGAGACCGAACCGGAGGUAAAGGUUGCACCAUCGGCAGCCACGAAUGGUGCUAGCACUCCAACAACCAGCAGCUCAACACCCACAGCAAAAGACACAUCAUCUCCAACUCCAACUCCGGCUCCCGUUGUUGCUCCCGUUGUCACACCAACUCCGCCACCUGCUGCUCCCGCAAAGAAGGAGAAACUGGGCGGCUUCUUGCCCAACGGCUGCAUCUUCCCGCGCUUUAAGAACAACAAGCACAAGGACAAGGACAGCAGUCACAAGGAGGGCAAGAGCAAAGAGAAGACUCUGCUGAAUGCGCUGAAAAAGAGCAAAGAGAAGAAGGUGGCGCCCAGUGAACAGCCGACAGAGAAAGCAGCCGCCUCGGACAACGGAACCACGCAGUACGAGAAGAACUGCAUCAACAAUCUGGAGUGCGAGGUGCAGAAGCUGGACUUGAACAGCGGCAGCAAUGGUGACAAUAGCAUGUUCAUCAAGCUGAAAGUUUCGCCGGCCAAUGCCACAGCAGCGGCAGCGGCGGCAAAGUAGAGAUAAUCCUGAAUUUACACACACAAAUCUCGUAGGUAAGUGGGAAGUUAGGACGGAAGAGAGUCGGAGGCGGCUCUCUCCAGUGAGCACGAACAGUGUCACUGUGUCAGCACUUAGGGCUUAGAGUCAUGGAUAGAGUCGUGUAGCAUAUACAAGAUUUAUAUAUACAGAUAUAUAUACAUUCACACACCCGUUUACACCGUUGGUCAAUUUUUUUGGAUAACCACUCAGAACCAGGACUAGAUGACUAACUAACAGUUGUGCCAUGCUCCAGCUCAUAGACAUUUAUAGACAAGACAGCGCUUCUCCCAGGAUCUUCCCCGGCAUUUAACUGACGACAGAAUGAUAAACGUAUUUACAUAGUUCAAUAUAUGUAUGAUUCGCAUACAGUUUGCCUUAUAUACAACAAGCCCAAGAGAGCGACAAGAACCUAGCAAGAACCAGUUGAUAAGCACGUGAAUUAAUGUAUUUAAAACGUAAUCGUCGAAUGAAACUCAUGCGCCAAAUGAACAUCAUCCCAGCACACUCCACAUCCUAGACUAACUACUUGCUCCAUUCCCAAAUUGUGUCAUCAGCCGUGCUGGAUACCAUCCACCCACCAGAUCACCACACAUCUCCCACUCCAUCCGUAGCCAUAACCAUAUCCGUGCAAAAGUAUUAAGAAACUUCGCAGAUCCAAGAACCCUAAAACCUGGAACUGGAUCGAUUGAUCUCCACGCUUUGAAGUUGAGGGGCAGUGAAAACAGCGGAUGGAGUUUUAAAGCCGGCUCUUUAGUGCCACGACUAACUUAUGUACCUUAGUAUACCCGAAUGCGAAAACAGUAUACAGACCACCCGCAAUGUCGCUAUUAUGAUUUAUAUUUUAAAGUUUAACUUUUAGUUCCUCUUAUUUGGUACCGACCGUAGGGGGAAAGAACUACUUCUCUUUUUAUUUAUUUUCCGUGCGUGCUUGUUGUGUUGUAAUUGAUACUGUUGGAAUGUUUAACUUUUACUGCGUUUAUUGUUUGUGCUAACCCAAUCCCUCAACUUCAAACGAAACCAUUCACGAAUCAUAUAUUAUUAUAGAGAGUAAACCACUAGAAAUCGAAUAAAUAUUCGGGAAGCACCACUGAAAAAUGGGAAAAACAAAAAAGUUUCAACUGCAAUAUCGGACUGAACAAAGCUGCCAUAUGAAAUCUAUAUACAUGUAAUGACUUUGUAUAUAAAGUUAGCUACAGAUUUCCAUAAAAAACAAGAAAAAACGAAAUUUCAAUUGUGAUUCCAUCGAAAAUCUAAUUUUGUUUCCACAUCGAAGAAUUUGAUUGAAGAACUCGAAACACAUACACAACGUAUACCGAUACCGAAUAAAAUAUAAUUUUGUUUGCUAGGAAAAACCUCACGUGCCAUACAGGAAGCGUGUAUGAGAAUUCAUCAAAAUUGAUUUCAUCCAAUUGGUAUUAUAUUUAAGCCCAGAGUUUCCUUAAUUGUGAGUUGAAACACGAGUACCGAGAACCCUAAAGUAUAUGCUAGUUUUUAACUGGUUGUAAAUUAUGAAUGCUCGUGUAAAAUUAGUAUUAAAUUAUAGCACGAACCCAACAACAGGAACAGCAACAAACAUAACACUACAAUUACAAAUUAAAUUAGUUUAAGACCCAAGUCUUCUAGGCGAAGAGCAAAAAGCAAUAAUUUUACUUGAAAAGAAUGACACGGCAAGAAAAUUAUAAUGAAAAUGCGUGUGGCUAGUAACAGCAAUAGGAGUAGAAGGGCAUCUGGAAAACUCGAGAAAACCCGCCAGCUUCACUGUGUUUUUCCCGAAAGAUGCAACACUGUUUCCUUGGAAAAAUCUAGAGUUUUCCGGAGCAGCCAACACGCAAAAAUACACAUUUUUAUAUGUAUAUGUAUGUAAUAAUAAAAGAUCGUAUUUGACAAAAGUG